rnacentral:rRNA from 1 species
UACGGGGGGGGCAAGCGUUGUUCGGAAUUACUGGGCGUAAAGGGCGCGUAGGCGGCCUUCUAAGUCAGACGUGAAAUCCCUCGGCUUAACCGGGGAACUGCGUCUGAUACUGGAUGGCUUGAGUUCGGGAGAGGGAUGCGGAAUUCCAGGUGUAGCGGUGAAAUGCGUAGAUAUCGGGAGGAACACCUGUGGCGAAAGCGGCGCACUGGACCACAACUGACGCUGAGGUGCGAAAGCGUGGGGAGCAAACAGG